AUAUGUUGUUAAAGGUUUACCGCCUUGGGAUAGGCUUGCGUCUGAUUAGCUAGUUGGUGUGGUAAUGGCACACCAAGGCUACGAUCAGUAACUGGGUCUGAGAGGAUGAUCAGUCACACUGGAACUGAGACACGGUCCAGACUCCUACGGGAGGCAGCAGUGAGGAAUAUUGGGCAAUGCACGAAAGUGUGACCCAGCAACGCCGCGUGGAGGAUGAAAGGUAUUCUAUAUCGUAAACUCCUGUGAGAGCAGACGAAAGACAGAUUAUUAAUUUGGAUGACUGUAUGCUCAGAGGAAGCCCCGGCUAACUACGUG
rnacentral:rRNA from 1 species